UUUCCUCCUUACAGGAUAUAUAUAUACCAAUCAACGGUCCUGUGAUAUCGAGCUUCAGUUGAUGCAGAGGUGGUGAAAACAUCUUGUCUUCUUCAAAGAGGUUGCAAGUUGCAAAAGUUUGUCUUGCCCUUGCUGUGUUGUUGCUUCCUUCUCUGGUGGAGUACACAAGAGAAGUUUGCAGAUAUAGGCAGCUCCUUUCAGCUCUUCUAUGUCCAGGGAUUUGGACU
rnacentral:lncRNA from 1 species